rnacentral:rRNA from 1 species
GAAUCAACGCUGGCGGCGUGCCUAACACAUGCAAGUCGAGCGCGAAAGCGGGGCAACCCGCAAGUAGAGCGGCGAACGGGUGAGUAACGCGUGGGUGAUCUACCUCCGAGUGGGGAACAACAUCGGGAAACUGGUGCUAAUACCGCAUGACAUCCUCAGGUCACACUGAGGAUCAAAGCCGGGGACCGUAAGGCCUGGCGCUUGGAGAGGAGCCCGCGUCCGAUUAGCAGGUUGGCGGGGUAACGGCCCACCAAGGCGACGAUCGGUAGCCGGCCUGAGAGGGGCGGACGGCCACACUGGGACUGCGACACGGCCCAGACUCCUACGGGAGGCAGCAGUGGGGAAUUUUUCGCAAUGGGCGCAAGCCUGACGAAGCAACGCCGCGUGGGGAUGAAGGUCUUCGGAUUGUAAACCCCUGUCGACCGGGACGAAAGUACCCGACCUAACACGUCGGAAUAUUGACUGUACCGGUGGAGGAAG